AUGGAAAAGCAUCAAUAUGUGACGAGUCGGGAGUGAGAAUGUGUUAAAAUAAGACAAAGAACAAUUAUUUCAGAUGAAAUACAGGCAACUGUCAUAGAUCAUGUUUUAGUCCACAGAUUGACAAUGAGGGAAGCGGGACUUCGAGUUCAGCCCAAUCUAGGUCGAUUCACUGUGUCCACCAUAGUCCGAAGUUUCAGAGAGGCGAACAGAAUUGCAAGACUGCCACUUCAUGGGGUGAGGACAUCUAUGUUGUCUCCACACCAAGAGAUCCUCAUUGUUGACAUGGUCCAUCAGAACAAUGCAAUCARACUAUGUGAAAUACAGCAGAAAAUCAUUGCAGACCAAGUGAGUUUUGAAGGCAUCGACAGUGUAAGCCUUUUCACCAUUGAUCAAGUCCUAAAAUGCAACAGUAUGUGGAUGAAGCAACUGUACAGAGUACCCUUUGAUCGUUACUCAGAGAGGGUUAAAGAGCAAAGAUUCCAGUAUACACAGAUUGUUUUUCAGUUGGACACAAUUUCAGUUUCAUUAGAACAACCCCAUGAAUAUAUUUAUAUGGAUGAAGCUGGGUUCAAUCUGACCAAAAGGAGGAGGAGAGGCUGGAAUGAUUGGCCAGCGAGCAAUUGUUGCAGUACCUGGCCAAUGGGGUGGGAAUGUAACAUUAUGUGCUGCCAUCAGCAACAAUGGGGUUAUCCACCAUCAUGCCACAUUGGGGCCAUACAAAACUCAACAUCUCCUGACAUUUCUUGGUGAUCUUAGAGAUAAUGUUUUAGGUCAUCAGCAGAAGGAUCAUGAGCAGCCAGGGCAUCCUGUCUAUGUCAUUGAAUGGGACAAUGUGAGUUUUCAUCGUGCCAUCCAGGUCAGAGAGUGGUUCAAUAUCAACCAAGAAUUCAUGAACGUUUUCCUUUCACCAUACUCCCCUUUCCUCAACCCAGCAGAGGAGUUCUUCUCUUCACAGCGUUGGAAGGUUUACGAUCGGCAACCUACACCAGGGAAAAUCUCUUGCAGACCAUGGAAUUGGCCUGUAAUGACAUACAGUAGGUGUGGAUGUGUGUCAAGCGUGGAUCCACCAUACUAGUAGUUUUUUCCCACACUGCCUGGCCAGGGACAAUYUCGCCUGUGAUGUAGAUGAAGUUCUGUGGCCUGACCCAGCAUGUCGCCAUGAUGCUGUAGAGUAGAUGCUGUCUGCACAUUUUUUGUAUCAUAUACUGUGUUUUUCUUUUGUACUGUAAAAUGCUAAUUAGGAAUUUUGUUCUUAAAAUAUAUUUUCCUUUGUGGAAAAUAAAGAUUCUUUCAAAAGCUUCAUGAUCUUAUUGUUGUGUUUUUGUUUAUUUUCCCUGUUGUGUGACUGCUCAGUGGUGUUUGUUCUUUUGAUUUCUUCGAGGUCUGAUUUGACAACAUUGUUUGGUUUUGAGCACAGUUUAAACUAUUUUGAGGCUGGAGUUUGGAUUUGCUGGAGGAGUCAGAGGUUCUGUGAAAGCAGUUUGAAAAUUAGGUUUUGUGUUUACAGUUUAGAGAAAUUGAUGGAUGGUUCCAAGAAAUGUGUUUUAGCAAAUGAGAAAAACAGAAAAAUA